AGCAGCCGCGGUAAUUCCAGCUCCAAUAGCGUAUAUUAAAGUUGUUGCAGUUAAAAAGCUCGUAGUUGAAUUUCGGGAUCAGUACGCUGGUCAUGCCUUUGGUAUGCACUGGUGUCACUGGUUUCUCCCUUCUGAAGAUCCGUGAUGUCAUUAAUUUGGUGUCGCGGGGAAUCAGGACUGUUACUUUGAAAAAAUUAGAGUGUUUAAAGCAGGCUCACGCUUGAAUACAUUAGCAUGGAAUAAUGAAAUAGGACGUUUGACCCUAUUUUGUUGGUUUCUAGGAUCGACGUAAUGAUUAAUAGGGAUAGUUGGGGGCAUUAGUAUUCAAUUGUCAGAGGUGAAAUUCUUGGAUUUAUUGAAGACUAACUACUGCGAAAGCAUUUGCCAAGGAUGUUUUCAUUAAUCAAGAACGAAAGUUAGGGGAUCGAAGGCGAUCAGAUACCGUCGUAGUCUUAACCAUAAACUAUGCCGACUAGGGAUCGGAUGAUGUUAAUUUUAUAAUGA
rnacentral:rRNA from 1 species